rnacentral:rRNA from 1 species
AAUUGAUGAAUUGAUUAUAAUUGAUUGAAUUCUAUGUGUAGUUCAGUGUUAAGUUUAGAAAUGUUGGCGGUGUUUUAUUAGAUUCUGAGAAUCUUGCAUAAUUAAAAUGAUAAUACACAAUUUAUCUUAUCUUAGUUUUGUUGGUUUAUAUAUUGCUGUUUAACUUAUAAUUUGAUGUUAAUAGAAUAUGUAAAGAGAUUUAUAAAAUGAAAAGUUCAAGUCAAAAUAUAGUUUUAUUAAGGUUUAUGUGAGUUGCUUUUUUUUAGAAAAUAAGAAUAAUAGAGUAAAAUGAAAUUUUAUAUAAAAAGGGAUUAGGUUGUAAAAAAAAAUUAAUAAAUUUUCUUGAUAAGUUAUAUAGGCAUGU